rnacentral:tRNA from 1 species
GCUAACUUAGCUCAGUUGAUAAGAGCUUCAGUCUGAAAGUUGAGGUCCUAGGUUUGAUUCCUGGAGUGCA